CAAGAUUAGCUAGAACUGUCCCUCCAAACUCUGAGGAAGGGCAGAUUUGGAUCAAGAUGCAGACUUAACUUGGACUUGUGACCAGAUUCACGAGAGUAUUAUUCAUCUAGCACCACAAAGGAAAAGGACAUGCUACGAGACACAUAGAAGGAGAUAAGAAGGCAUCUAAGCACAGGCGUCCUGUGGUGGGAGCAUCCUCCUCCCACUCCUGCCUCACCCGGGGUCUUCAGAAAACAGCUUGGGAUCGGCCAUGGAAAGCUCACACUAGCCCCGCGAGGUGCUGUGAUUGUCAACGGGGGACUACAGCUGCUGAGAACAGUCAGGAACCUGAUCAACAGCCCUGGGGGCUCAAGAAAGAAAAAGGGGUUUGUGGUUAAGGCACUGGACUGGUGCCCAGGAGCACUGGGCUCCUGGCUCUUCCAGAGCCUUCCGAUGUGAUCUUGAGCAGGCCCAGAUCCUCCAAGGUAAGUAGGUGCCUAACUCCCAUCUGAACCUAUGCGAAUCCUCAGCAAGGGCCUUAGCCACAAGACUAGCUUCCAGGGCUGUCAAGCUAGCAACUGCAACCAGCACCAGGGAAGGAAAAACCCACUGCAAGGAAAGACUCGGUUUGUUUAAAAUGUCUACCUGCACCACGACAGAUGCCAACGAAGAGCCAGAGGUCUGUGUAUUCCCCCAGUGCUGCUGUUCUCUGCGUGGAAAUAAACUCCCUCGCCUUUGGCAUGGUGUUUGAAGCUUUGCACCUACGGCAGCUCAGUGGGCAUCACAUUCACUUCAGAGCUGGGGGCCUCAAAAAUCAAAAGCCCAUUUGCAGUCAGUUUCCAGCUGUGAGGUGAUAGGACAUAGCUGUUAUUCUGAGCUGCUGCCUUUUUAUUUGUGAUCCCAAUCCAAGAUAUAGACGUUAAAGAUCCCCUGGCACGUAUAACCAGAAUGGGUGACUAUAAAUCUGGCUACUUGAGUAAAAACAAUAAAUAAAUCCACCCCCCAAAACAACACACUUUGCUGCAAAUUUAGAGGGGAAAGCAAAGUCUAUGGAAACUCCAUGUGGGAGGAAAUAGCCUCUCUAAUUUGGGAGCUCUUGGAAAACAAUGGACUUUUUUUUUAAAAAAAAAACAGGAAUGUGUCUGAUUCUGCAUUAGACCAAAAUAGAUUCAACCCCAGUACAAGUAGUUUGUAAUGAAUGAAUGAAUACCUUUGUGAAGGAAGUUACCUGGGAAAAGAUAGAUAACAAUAGGUAGCAGGGCUGCUCCUUUAACAGCAGGCUUGGAAGGGCUAGAUUUCUAUCUGUAACUGUGGGUAAAUGUCGAUUUCACCAAAUACAUGGCAAUGAAAAAAUAUUUCCAUCGAUAAUAAUCAAAACUGACCGGCAAAGUAAGAAAAAUGCGGCUUGAGAACUCAACAAGAGUUUGAUUUAAGGCUAUUGACUUUGUAUAUUUUGAUGUGUGAUGUUGACCAUUUGUGUUCUAAUGCUUAUAACCUUUCACUUUUUGAAUCUCAACAUCUUUGGUCAUUAAAGAACUACUGUCUGACUUGCCUAUUCUCUGGCCCCCAGAAUUUCCCAGAACUGUGAGAAUUUAAAUCAAUAAAGAUUGAAAUAAAAUGUGUAAAAACAAACAUUGAUAUAAUCCUUCAAAAAAAAAAAAAUCCUGCCAAGCCUGUUUACCAGGGAACAUACUCCUUAUGUAGCGAGGUUACAUUGGUCAUGGAAAAAAAUGGACUUUUGCCACUCACGGUAGUUAACUACACCAUGGUUUUAGAGGUAUUUUCCAUGCUAAAUACAGGGAAUGCCAUAAAUACUGGAAGAAAGGUAAAUACUUUUUUAUUGAUGCUUAUAAUGUCCUGAGAUAUUCAACUCCAGAUUCUUGACUCGGACUUGCAAACAACCAAAAAAGAGAUUGCCACCAGAUUCUCCAUGCCAGGUUUCAUAAUGAACAAAAUGCAAACCAGGUGUAGGACUUUGGGAGUUUAAUGAGUACAGUGUGAAUGCACAUGAGGUGCAGAUAUGAUCGUUAAAGCUCAGAGCUGUGUGUCUUCCCCUUGAGCAGGCUAUGGCUACACUACAGAGCUUACGGCUUCACUGCAACAAUUAACCUGCUAGUGAAGAUGUGCUGUCCACGCUGGCGCUUAGGUCAGUGUAAUUUACGUCACUCGGGGUGGGGGGUGUUAUUCACACUCCGAAGCGAUAUAACUUAUACCAGCUUAAGCUGCAGCAUGUGCAUGGCUUCAAUGCUUUGAUUUAAGGAGCUGCCAUGAACCAGGAGCAUAACAGCCCCCAGCAGACAUUGAUCCAGAAGGCUAAAUUCUGCCUUCAGAUUCAGUCCACUAAAGUCAAUGGGGUUGCAGAGGUAUCACUGUGGGUAGCAUACGGAUAUGGAGAUUCCAACAGGGUGUCUUGUGGCGGUAAGGAGAACAGAAUUUGGCCCAGGCUUUCUAUUUCACAGACCUCCGUUUUUGGAAGCUCACCACACAUUGCGUAAAAAUGACCUGGGGGUCAGUGGAAGCAGUGUGGUCUUGGGGCUCAGGCGGUGGUCUGCUGUGCAAGACUCCUGGGUCUGAGUCGGCUGCAACCUUCCUCAGUGACUUUGGGCAUGACCAGUGGCAUUGUGUUAAUCCACAGGAUGUUAAACAUGGCUUUGUAGAUAAGGACAGAGGUUAGGUUAACCCUGCCAUUCCAGUCGGAUUUAACCAUUGCUGGCUAUUAAACAUCAGAUGGUCCUUGUCACCAUUGACUGACCAUUGUGUAAUUAUCACCAGGCCUUCCCAAGACUGUGUUCUAACACAACCUCAUUUUCUCUAGAGGAGAAAUCCUUAAGCUCCGGGCCUCAGUUUCUCCAUCUCUAAAAUGGGGAUAAAGACAAAUCUGUCAAUGUUUUGAGGUGCCAAAAUACUUUGUUGGCGGGGCAGAUAACAGAUCUAUAAUGGGGUACCUGAACCGACUAGGAGAGAAGAAACACCACCCAAUGGACAGUGCACCAGACUAGGAGUCAGGAUACCUGAGUUCUGUGGCCUCUCUGUGUGACCUUGGGCAAAGCACUUUCCCUCUCACUCUUUGUCUGUCUUGCCUAUUUAGAUUGUAAACUCUUUCAGCUACCUUUGUCCCUUACUUGUGUGUACACAGUAGGGUCCCUGAUCACAGUCGGGUCCUACUGCAAUACAAAUAAUAAAUACUAGUUUACUACC